rnacentral:rRNA from 1 species
AUGAAAGGAAUCUUUUGGAAUAGCAGAGGUCUGAAAGACUUGGCUAAAAGAAGGUUUCUUGCUGAGGCUUCUAUUGAGCAUAGGUUGGACUUUAUCGCUUUAUCGCAAACUGGUAGAGCCGACUUUUCGCCUCAAUUUCUCAAUACGCUUUCGGGAGGUACUGAUUUUGAUUGGCAUUGUCUACCGCCACGAGGAAGAUCGGGUGGGAUUUUACUCGGAGUUAGAUGUGAUUCGUUAGAAGUCCGAAGCAUUGUCAUGGGGGAUUUCGCUGUUAAGUUUAGGGUGAGGCCGAAGACCGAUGGGUUUAACUGGGCUUUGGUGGCGGUAUAUGGAGCCGCACAGCCCAAGCUUAAACCAGAUUUUUUGGCUGAUCUGGUUAGGAUUUGUGGUUCUAAACAACUUCCUAUCCUGGUGGCCGGUGAUUUUAAUAUCAUCAGAAGGCGUGAUGAGAAGAAUAAUGAUAAUUUUGACGGCAGAUGGUCGUUCAUGUUUAACAAAAUCAUUGAAAGCCUGGAUCUGCGUGAGAUAGAGCUUUCGGGCAGGAAGUUUACCUGGGCUAACGCCUUGCCAAAUCCAACGUUCGAAAAGCUGGAUCGGGUUCUGGCUAGCGUCGAAUGGGAACAGAAAUUCCCAUGUGUAAUAGUCCAGGCACUUUCUCGUGGUAUUUCUGAUCACACGCCGUUAUUACUUGACUCUGGGAAGGCUACCCAUGUGGGAAAUAAGAAUGUUUUCUCUUUCGAGCUUGCGUGGUUUGAGAGAGAAGGUUUCUUAGAUCUCGUAGCCAGAGAAUGGGCUAUGGAUGCAGGAGGUAGAACUGUACUUGAGCGCUGGCAGAAUAAAAUUAGGCACUUGAGAAGUUUCCUACAUGGGUGGGCUAAGCAUCUUAGUGGGGUCUAUAAGAUUGAGAAGGAACAACUCCUUACGCUUAUUCAGUCCGUUGAUGUAAAAGCCGAGACCAUGAUCCUGCCAGCCUCGGAGCUUCAUGCCAAGAUCGACGCAGAAAUGAGGCUGAAAGAGCUCCUUCGUGAGGAAGAAUUAAAGUGGGUGCUUCGGGCUAAGGUCCAAAGGGUCGUCCAGGGGGACGCGAACACACAAUUUUUUCACAUGAUCUCCAAUGGUAAGUAUAGAAAGAAGAGGACCUUUCAGCUUGAACAAGAUGAGGGAAUGAUUCUUGGUCAGGAAAACUUAAAGCUUUAUAUUACUGAGUAUUACAAGCAGCUGUUUGGGCCUCCAGAGGAUAACUGUGUGUCGCUGGAUGAGUCUAGGAUUGAGGAUGUGCCUCAACUGACGGCUGUCGAGAAUGAUAUUUUAGUUGCUCCUUUUUUCUGA